rnacentral:rRNA from 1 species
CCUACGGGAGGCAGCAGUGAGGAAUAUUGGUCAAUGGACGAGAGUCUGACCCAGCCAAGUCGCGUGAAGGAUGACUGCCCUAUGGGUUGUACACUUCUUUUAUAUGGGAAUAAAAUGUUCCACGUGUGGGAUUUUGUAUGUACCAUAUGAAUAAGGAACGGCUAACUCCGUGCCAGCAGCCGCGGUAAUACGGAGGCUCAGAGCGUUAGCCGGAUUUAGUGGGUUUAAAGGGAGCGUAGGUGGAUUGUUAAGUCAGUUGUGAAAUUUUGGGGCUCAACCGUAAAAGUGCAGUUGAAACUGGCAGGCGUGAGUACAGUAGAGGUAGGUGGAAUUCGAGGUGUAGCGGUGAAAUGCGUAGAUAUCACGAGGAACUCCGGUGGCGAAGGCAGCUCACUGGACUGCAACUGACACUGAGGCUCGAAAGUGUGGGUAUCAAACAGGAUUAGAUACCCCAGUAGUC